GUUUUGGAUAGAGGUGCGGAGACCAUCAGUAUAUACGCGGAAGGGAAAUGAGCCCUAGUGAAGCGUAUGGAAAGGGGAAUCUGCCGAAGCGAGUGAAAUACUCAUUCAUUAACUCGUUGGUGCUGCUAUUGAACAAAUAACAGUGCUGUCAUAUAGGAGACUAUAUGGAGGGCUAUCGAGCUG
rnacentral:ncRNA from 2 species